UGGGGAAUAUUGGGCAAUGGGAGGAAUCCUGACCCAGCGACGCCGCGUGAACGAAGACGGCCUUCGGGUUGUAAAGUUCUUUUAUGUGGGAAGAAGGAAGUGACGGUACCACAUGAAUAAGCCCCGGCUAACUACGUGCCAGCAGCCGCGGUAAUACGUAGGGGGCGAGCGUUGUCCGGAUUUAUUGGGCGUAAAGCGCGUCUAGGUGGUUAUAUAAGUCUGAUGUGAAAAUGCAGGGCCCAACUCUGUAUUGCGUUGGAAACUGUAUAACUAGAGUACUGGAGAGGUAAGCGGAACUACAAGUGUAGAGGUGAAAUUCGUAGAUAUUUGUAGGAAUGCCGAUGGGGAAGCCAGCUUACUGGACAGAUACUGACGCUGAAGCGCGAAAGCGUGGGUAGCAAACAGGAUUAGAUACCCUGGUAGUCCACGCUGUAAACGAUGAUUACUAGGUGUUGGGGGUCGAACCUCAGCGCCCAAGCAAACGCGAUAAGUAAUCCGCCUGGGGAGUACGUACGCAAAUAUG
rnacentral:rRNA from 1 species